rnacentral:rRNA from 1 species
GCCCUUAGAGUUUGAUCCUGGCUCAGGAUGAACGCUGGCGGUAUGCUUUACACAUGCAAGUCGUACGAGAGUUUUUAACUCAAGUGGCGGACGGGUGAGUAACACGUAAGAAUUUGCCUUUAGGAGGGGGAUAACAACUGGAAACGGUUGCUAAUACCCCAUAUGCUUUCGAGUAAAAUGGAUUUUCGGCUUAAAGAGAAGCUUGCGGCUGAUUAGCUUGUUGGUGAGGUAAUGGCUCACCAAGGCGACGAUCAGUAUCUGGUUUGAGAGGACGAUCAGACACACUGGAACUGAGACACGGUCCAGACUCUUACGGGAGGCAGCAGUGGGGAAUUUUCCGCAAUGGGCGAAAGCCUGACGGAGCAAUACCGCGUGAGGGAUGACGGCCUAUGGGUUGUAAACCUCUUUUUUCAGGGAGGAAUCAAUGACGUGUACCUGAAGAAUAAGCAUCGGCUAACUCCGUGCCAGCAGCCGCGGUAAGACGGAGGAUGCAAGUGUUAUCCGGAAUCACUGGGCGUAAAGCGUCUGUAGGUGGUCAAAUAAGUCAACUGUUAAAUCCUUGAGGCUCAACCCUCAAAAUCGCAGUCGAAACUAUUCGACUAGAGUAUAGUAGGGGUAAAGGGAAUUUCUCAGUGGAGCGGUGAAGUGCGUAGAGAUUGGAAAGAACACCGAUGGGCGAAGGCACUUUACUGGGCUAUUACUAACACUGAGAGACGAAAGCUAGGGUAGCAAAUGGGAUUAGAUACCCCAGUAGUCCUAGCCGUAAACAAUGGAUACUAGAUGUUGAACAGAUCGACCUGUGCAGUAUCAAAGCUAACGCGUUAAGUAUCCCGCCUGGGAAGUAUGCUCGCAAGAGUGAAACUCAAAUGAAUUGACGGGGAAGGGC